CGAGCUAUCCCGUCCCAGUCCGAACCCCCAACCGCAUUGAACAGAGCACUCAUCGUGACCACCCCUCACAACGCCUCCUCCCUCCUUUCCUCCACCUCCGCCGUCGGCCUAGGUCCCGGCCAACUCCAGCCACUCCGCGCCCCGCCGACCACCUCCCUGGAACCCACUCCUAUCCCUCUCAGUAAUCCACCGGGAGGAACCACCAAGACUCGCCUCCAACAGAAACCCUGGUCUCAAAUUCGGAUCCGACAAACCCUAGUGGCGCCCCUGCCGACCGCCGUCGAGGGCGAACCUGCCGUUCUCACGCAGCUUCUCCAGUCCUCCCCGACCUCCCCCAACAACGGUUCCGUUCGCCCAGCGUGUCUCCGUUCACCGCAUGUCGUUGUCCCGCGUCCUCUCCCUCCAGCUCCUGGCUAGGAUUCGCCCUUGCAUCGGCCCGACGCCUACACUGUGCGACCCUUCUCCCUCCCAAGGCGGUUGACAGCGCGAAGGAGGACCUCGUCACGUUCCUCUCCCUCCCAAGUUGUCGACCUCAUGGAGCUCACCGCCGACGGCCACGUCGCGCGUGGCUCACCAUCAUGGCCGCGUGGACCACGGCUUCGUCUACAACGCUCCAGAUUGAGGCCGCGCUCUAGGUCGGUGAGGAGGCAUGGCCUUGUCCAGCCGUGGUGGCGGGCCGUCGUUGCCGCUGCCACAAGAUCUGGUCGCUAAUGGUGCCCGCCACGGGCUUCCUCAUUGUCUCGUCCACCGCGGGAUCCCGCGUCUUGGCGCUCGCCAUGGAUCCCUUCGUGAGAUUGCACGGGAUAAGUACCUGCAAUGGUCGGCCUCAAUGACGUUGCGCACUAGCUAUUCAACUGCAGCCGCAUCCACUGCAUUGACACAGAGUCAGAGAAUUAACCUGGGUGCAAACAAUAACAGAGCUAUAGAUGCUAUCUUGUAAUUAAUGAGCACUUUGUUGUCAAUUCUUGCACUUCCCCUAUCCAGACGCGGAAUUACAGUUGUACUGAACGAUACAUAUGUUGGAUCGAUGGAAUUAAUUUCAACUACAUCGAUGCAUUCCUUUCCUGUAUCAAAUCAAUUGCUACUCAUACCUAUAGCUACGUGUGUUACCAAAUGAACUAUAGCAUGGAGUAAUGGGCCAUAUUUACAUGUGCUAGAACAAGUAGUAGUGCAGGCACAACCGCACAAGUAGCUCAUGGAAAUUUUUGCACUGAAGCAUGAGCUCAGAAGUCACAAAUUCAGUUUGUUAACUCACUCCAGCUGGUUACUGUAGCAGAAUGAAGUACAAAGUUAUAGCAAGUUCUACUUAAACUGAAAUUGAACAACUUUACAAUUAUAGUUUCUGCUUAUCAUUGUAUAAUUCUAACAGCUAUAAGGUCUUCUAUCAAACGGUUGUGCAUAGCAACUGUUGGCUAUCUUUACAGAUCCAUGGAGUCUAAAUAUGAUGAUGAAUGAUGAUGUAAGGUAGCUAGUAGGAGUAAUACAAGUAACUUUAGUCUAAAUAUAGUUGCUAGCUAGUAGGAGUAACGACAAGUAACUUUAGUCUAAAUAUAGUCGCUAGCUAGUAGGAGUAACGACAGGUACUGACAGAGAUUAGUAAGUAACAAACAUACUUGAAAGUCCACACUUACAAAUUCAUUAAACUUUAAUGUAGAGUAACAACCGAAGUUCAAACUGAAACAAGAACUUUAUACCAUUGUUCAGUAAACCAUAUGAACAACUUUAUGAACAACUUUAGACCAUUGUUCAGUAAACCACAAGGACAUGACAAAAAAAUCAGUACGAGUACUUGCAGGACUGGCCAACAAGUGGGUUCAGACGUGACCUUAGGACUGAUAAAUAAUAUUGUUCUCCCUCACGAGCAGCAGUUGCAUCCUCCAAUAAUUCAUGCUGCAGAUUCGCCUGAAGGAUGCAAUUGUUCAUGAGUACUUCAUACACCAUGGAUUUUUAUGUACUAGGCAUAGAUCAAAUCCAGAUGUUAUGAAUAAGCUGUUCUUGAGACAUUAUCCAGAUGCAGUUGCCAAUGUUAUGAAUAAGCUGUUUGAACUAUGACAUCUCUCCCAAUUACAAUUCAGUUCUCUCCACCACAAUCAUAUUGGAUCACUAAUCUAAUACAUAGUCAGUUCACUGUAAGAAGUACCCCAGUGGGCUGCAUGCAUUGUACUUAAGAGUGCUUGUAGGAACAUUGCUGUUAUUUGUAAUCAAAUGGUGCUCUUGUGCCCUGCUGCAGUAUCUCCCAGGUCAUUACAUGCUUAUUUGAGAUGCUCUCUUCUGCCUAGAUAGUUCAUUGAUCAGGCUUGUUACCCCAGUUUGCAGGAGAAUGCUCAUAAGGUUGCGGAAGUCCCAACCAGUACGUGUUUGUUGAUGCUUGUAGUUCGUUCUGUCUCAGAUUGUGGAGAUUGUGGCUGUGUACAUGGAUAACUCAUGUUAGAAGAUAAUUGUUUGUGUAACAUAUGCAUAAGUUUGCGAAAGUCCAAGCCAGUACGUGUUUGUUGAUGCUUGUAGUUCGUACGGUCUCAGAUUGUGGAGAUUGUGGUUGUGUACAUAGAUGACUCAUGUUAGAAGAUAGAUGAUUGCUUCUGUAACAUAUGCAACUUUAUGCGAUACAUUCAGCUGCAUAGCUCUUCUACCUGACA